rnacentral:antisense_RNA from 1 species
CGUGGGAGCGAGCUUGCUCGCGAAGGCGUCGGUCCAUUCAGCAUUGAGGCAAGCUGGUCCACCGCCAUCGCGAGCAAGCUCGCUCCCACA